rnacentral:rRNA from 1 species
AUUGAACGCUGGCGGCAGGCCUAACACAUGCAAGUCGAGCGAGCGGCGGACGGGUGAGUAAUGUAUGGGGUCUGCCCGAUAGAGGGGGAUAACUAUUGGAAACGGUGGCUAAUACCGCAUACUAUCGGAUAACCCAUAUGGGCUUAGCUAGUAGGUGGUGUAAAGGCUCACAUAGGCGACGAUCUCUAGCUGGUCUGAGAGGAUGAUCAGCAACACGGCGACUGAGACACGGCCCAGACGCCUACGGAGGCAGCAGUGGGGAAUAUUGAACAGUGGGCGGAAGACUGAGGCAGCCAUGCGGCGUGUAUGAGGAAGGCCUUAGGGUGGUAAAGGACGUUCAGCGGGGAGGCGUUACUCGCAGAAGAAGCACCGGCUAACUCCGUGCCAGCAGCCGCGGUAAUUC